rnacentral:lncRNA from 13 species
GGACAAUGUAUAUGGACAUGUAGGAGGGACUGGGGCUUAAGUCUAAUCCUGAGCUGGGAUUCGAGGCAGGAAUACAAAUCAGGAAAAAACAAUAGAGCAGAAAAGAGAAGUUUGGCAUCUGACUCAAGGUUGCAGCAACGGCAUGAAAUCUGCUCGCUCUGACCCUGGAAAUGCCCAGCUGGAGAACUGGUGUGCAUUUGUGAUGUCUGGGUGGACCAGCUGGGUAACAUCACCAUGCCUGUGCAUAGAGAAGGAAUGAUUCUCCCUCUUCCCUUUCACUGUAUCCAGAGUCUGCUAAUGAGGUCCAGAGGACUGACUGCAGAGCCCAUUUUUCCUUUGUAGGAGGCACAUAUGGUACAAUUAUAAAUUACCCAUACCCAAGCCAAAUACACACACACACACACAGAUUAAAUGUAAGCAGUUAAUGAAACAAACAUAUGAAUUAUAGCAGACAUCAAAGUAUCUCUUUUUCAGGGUUACCAUUUUGGAUUACCAUCUAGCCCAUUAGAUGUUUGCUGAAUAAAUUCAGACCAGUGUUAACCA